CCUACGUGAGGCUGCAGUGGGGAAUAUUGGACAAUGGGCGAAAGCCUGAUCCAGCCAUGCCGCGUGUGUGAAGAAGGCCUUCGGGUUGUAAAGCACUUUCAGUGGGGAAGAAAGCCUUGGGGCUAAUACCCUCGAGGAAGGACAUCACCCACAGAAGAAGCACCGGCUAACUCCGUGCCAGCAGCCGCGGUAAUACGGAGGGUGCGAGCGUUAAUCGGAAUUACUGGGCGUAAAGCGCGCGUAGGCGGUCUGAUAAGCCGGUUGUGAAAGCCCCGGGCUCAACCUGGGAACGGCAUCCGGAACUGUCAGGCUAGAGUGCUGGAGAGGAAGGUAGAAUUCCCGGUGUAGCGGUGAAAUGCGUAGAGAUCGGGAGGAAUACCAGUGGCGAAGGCGGCCUUCUGGACUGACACUGACGCUGAGGUGCGAAAGCGUGGGUAGCAAACAGGAUUAGAUACCCCAGUAGUC
rnacentral:rRNA from 1 species